CCUGAUGACAAACCAAACCACCAACCAGACGAUCAACAAACGACCAUGAUGACUUUAACUAAAUGUCUCACAUUUCUGCUGCUCUCAGCCAUUUCUGGUGUUUGCAGUCAGACUCUGACUGAAUCUGAACCGGUGGUGAAGCGGCCCGGAGAAUCCCACAAACUGACGUGUACAUAUGCAGGGAUAUCUGAUGACUCUGCUGAUAUCAGCUGGAUCAGACAAGCUGAAAGAAAAGGCCUGGAGUGGGUUGCCUUCAUUUCUGCUCCAUCAGGCAGCUCUAAAUAUUAUUCAGCAUCUGUCAAGAAUCGCUUCACAAUUUCCAGAAACAACGACAUGGACCAGGUGUAUCUGCACAUGAGCAGCCUGAUGACUGAAGACUCUGCUGUUUAUUAUUGUGCUCGAGAGCCACAGUAACACAGGAAGCCACAGAGCUGUACACAAAAUAUUGCAUCUGUCCCUGUGUCACUCAUUGAGUGUUUAAAUAUCCUCCUCCUCCAACACUGAAAAAUGUUGAAGCCCCCCCCCCCAUGUCCUAAGCUACACUUAAAAGUAUUAAUAUAUAAAAAAUACCUCCAAUUAAAGUUUUAAACACAUUAAAAAAUACUGAAUUUA